CUCUCCUUCUGCUCUCCUGAAGGUGUCUGUCUGUCUGUCUGUCUGUCUGUCUGUCGCUCUGCUGACGGCGACCAACAACAACAACAACAACAACAACAACUAUUACUUCUACAACUCAAAUAACAACAUGAGCGGAUCAAGACUCCUGCUGGUGGCGCUGGUGGUGGCGGUGGCCGUGGUGGGCGCGAACGGCUCUCGCUACUAUGGCGGCGGCGGCGGCGGUGGUGGUGGUUAUCAUGGUUGUGCUGUGAAAUACGUGGUGUCGACUAAGACGGAAACGGAGACUGAGACGGAGACCACAACAGAGACGGAGACCACAACGGUUCUCCUUAAAAAGUACAUCACGGUGGCCAAGGCUUACGGUGGCGGAGGUAGCGGCUAUCACUACGGCUAAUGUGGCAGAACCCUCCACCACACACCACAACACCACUCUCCUGCCCAGCUUCGGCCGUUUUGACCUUCCGCCCGCCACACGCCCGCCCUCGCCACCACCGCACCACCACACCACCACCACCCACAGCUCCUCCUAGCCCUCCAGGUAGUGGUAGUGGUUGUGGUAGUGGUGUUGUGGAGGUGUUGUAACUAGAGACAGUGGUAUAUAUAGUUUUUUUUAUUAUUUCGUGUUUUAUUUUAGUUUUUCGUGAAGUAUUUAGUUGGGAUGUUUGUUUCGUUUUUUUCGUUAUUGUUUCGCUGCAUGAGUUAAAAUUUCCGUGUUUAUUUCUCGUUUUUUUUUUCAAUUUUUAGGGGGAGAUUUCAUAACUUUUACACUUCACUUUCCUUAUAAUGUGCAUCCAGUUAGUCUUUCCCUUCCGUCUGUGUGUGUGUGUGUGUCUGUUGGCUGGAACACUGUAGUGGCUGUAGUGGCUGAAGACUAGUGUGUGCAGCGGGUCAGCAAGGAAAAGGAUAAAAAAAGAAAAAAAAACUAUUGCAUCGUGA